GUGCUCACUUUGGCAGCACAAAUUCUAAAAUUGGAAUGAUACAGAGAAGAUUACCAUGGCCCUUGCUCAAGGAUGACAUGCAAAUUUGUGAAGCAUUCCAUAGUUUU
ensembl:snRNA U6 U6 spliceosomal RNA